GAUGAACGCUGGCGGCGUGCUUAAUACAUGCAAGUCGAACGGAGCACUAGAAAUAGAGCUUAGUGGCGAACGGGUGAGUAACACGUAGAUGACCUGCCCCGAAGAUUGGGAUAACAGUUCGAAAGGGCUGCUAAUACCGAAUGAGUUCGUGGUUGUUAGAGGAUCACGAAGAAAGGCGCGAGCCGCUUUGGGAGGGAUCUGCGGCCCAUCAGCUAGUUGGUAAGGUAACGGCUUACCAAGGCGACGACGGGUAGGGGACCUGAGAGGGUGAUCCCCCACCACUGG
rnacentral:rRNA from 1 species